rnacentral:misc_RNA from 1 species
GAUGAAGAACGCAGCGAAAUGCGAUAAGUAAUGUGAAUUGCAGAAUUCAGUGAAUCAUCGAAUCUUUGAACGCACAUUGCGCCCGUUAGUAUUCUGGCGGGCAUGCCUGUUCGAGCGUCAUUACGCCCCUCAAGUCCCCUGUGGACUUGGUGUUGGGGAUCGGCGAGGCUGGUUUUCCAGCACAGCCGUCCCUUAAAUUAAUUGGCGGUCUCGCCGUGGCCCUCCUCUGCGCAGUAGUAAAACACUCGCAACAGGAGCCCGGCGCGGUCCACUGCCGUAAAACCCCCCAACUUUUUAUAGUUGACCUCGAAUCAGGUAGGACUACCCGCUGAACUUAAGCAUAUCAAUAAGCGGAGGA